rnacentral:rRNA from 1 species
UGAGGAAUAUUGGUCAAUGGGCGAGAGCCUGAACCAGCCAAGUAGCGUGCAGGAUGACGGCCCUAUGGGUUGUAAACUGCUUUUAUGUGGGGAUAAAGUGAGCUACGUGUAGUUUAUUGCAGGUACCACAUGAAUAAGGACCGGCUAAUUCCGUGCCAGCAGCCGCGGUAAUACGGAAGGUCCAGGCGUUAUCCGGAUUUAUUGGGUUUAAAGGGAGCGUAGGCCGUGGAUUAAGCGUGUUGUGAAAUGUAGACGCUCAACGUCUGAAUUGCAGCGCGAACUGGUUCACUUGAGUAUGCACAACGUAGGCGGAAUUCGUCGUGUAGCGGUGAAAUGCUUAGAUAUGACGAAGAACUCCGAUUGCGAAGGCAGCUUACGGGAGCACAACUGACGCUGAAGCUCGAAGGUGCGGGUAUCAAACAGGAUUAGAUACCCUGGUAGUCCGCACAGUAAACGAUGGAUGCCCGUUGUUAGUUCACUUAAGAAUUAGCGACCAAGCGAAAGCAUUAAGCAUCCCACCUGGGGAGUACGCCGGCCGGU